CUAUGAUGAAACAACAUAAAAUAGCUGGAAUUACCGGCAGAAUUUUCUUGUUGACAUGUGUCUUUCUGACU